rnacentral:rRNA from 1 species
UACGAGGGGUGCAAGCGUUGCUCGGAAUUAUUGGGCGUAAAGGGUAUGUAGGUGGUCUUAUUUGUCUGGGGUGAAAUCCUUGAGCUUAACUCAAGAAGUGCCCCAGAAACGGUGAGACUCGAGUUCUGGAGAGGGUCGUGGAAUUCCCGGUGUAGCGGUGAAAUGCGUAGAGAUGUGGAGGAAUACCGAUGGCGAAGGCAGCCUCCUGGGCCAACACUGACGCUCAUGCACGAAAGCGUGGGGAGCAAACAGG